UUCUUUAUAAGUUAACAUAUUAUUUCUUUUGUCAAACAAAAAAAAAAAAACUCUCUCUCCACAAGAGAAGUUCGCCCUAGCCGCCGUUCAAGCUUUCACCCGAUCUGACCUCUCCGGCCACCGGCGCUUCUCGUCGGAGUCGUGAGAGGGUCAUCCUUUGUCUUUUCCUUCAUGUCUAGUUAAUCACGAGCCUUUUCCAGCCUUUCUCCGGCAGAUAGUUUCGAAGGUUUUGGAUCGGGUCUCAAGUCUGUAUCUUCUCCGAUUUCGGCGAGAUCUUCUCCGAGCAUCGUCUCCUAUUGGUUCGUGAUGGUGAACCGCGAUUUGCCAUGUCUCGUCGAUGGCUGUAUUGAGCGUAAUUUCAGAUCUGGUUUCAUUGGACUUGGUCGCUUGAUGGUGAUAGACGGGUCGUUUGGUUUCUACUGCGGCUGAGAUGUUUUACGGUUCCAUCACUUGAACAGCAGCAAUCUACGUAUCAUAUUCAUAUAUAACCACACACACACUAGUUUACAUUCAAACACAAUCACUUGCGCAUUUGCACAUGAGGCACAACAAUAUGCCAACUAAACCGUACGCCAAAGAAGUAUUCCUAGCUAGAGUCCAUCAUCAAGCAACUAUCCAAUACUCCCAAGUUGUUAACCAUCAAACUAUGGACAUACGCCUCAGCCAAAAGCAGUAUGCCAACAAAACCAUACGCCAAAAAAGUAUUCCUAUUUCCUAGAGUCCAUCAUCAAGUCCAUUGGCACAUCUAAGAACCAUUUGUUUGAUGAACUUUCAGACCGAAAACAUGACGUUGCCUAACCUCCACCUCAAGAUGUUUUAUUGUCGAGUUUGAAAUAUGAUGUGUCUAAGAUUUAGUAAUAGUAGAAAGUAACUAGUACCCAUAGAAUCCAUGUACAGCAAGCUAACCGAUUUCAGAAUUAUAUACAUAGAGAGGACUCACUGAAGUUUUGAAA